CCUACGGGAGGCAGCAGUGAGGAAUAUUGGUCAAUGGACGAGAGUCUGAACCAGCCAAGUAGCGUGAAGGAUGACUGCCCUAUGGGUUGUAAACUUCUUUUAUAUGGGAAUAAAACGUUCCACGUGUGGGAUUUUGUAUGUACCAUAUGAAUAAGGAUCGGCUAACUCCGUGCCAGCAGCCGCGGUAAUACGGAGGAUUCGAGCGUUAUCCGGAUUUAUUGGGUUUAAAGGGAGCGUAGGUGGAUUGUUAAGUCAGUUGUGAAAGUUUGCGGCUCAACCGGAAAAUUGCAGUUGAAACUGGCAGUCUUGAGUACAGUAGAGGUGGGCGGAAUUCGUGGUGUAGCGGUGAAAUGCUUAGAUAUCACGAAGAAAUCCGAUUGCGAAGGUAGUUCACUGGACUGCAACUGACACUGAGGCUCGAAAGUGUGGGUAUCAAACAGGAUUAGAUACCCCAGUAGUC
rnacentral:rRNA from 1 species